rnacentral:rRNA from 1 species
GAUGAACGCUGGCGGCGUGCCUAAUACAUGCAAGUCGAGCGAACAGACGAGGAGCUUGCUCCUUUGACGUUAGCGGCGGACGGGUGAGUAACACGUGGGUAACCUACCUAUAAGACUGGGAUAACUUCGGGACACCGGAGCUAAUACCGGAUAAUAUUUCGAACCGCAUGGUUCGAUAGUGAAAGAUGGCUUUGCUAUCACUUAUAGAUGGACCUGCUCCGUAUUAGCUAGUUGGUAAGGUAACGGCUUACCAAGGCAACGAUACGUAUCCGACCUGAGAGGGUGAUCGGCCACACUGGAACUGAGACACGGUCCAGACUCCUACGGGAGGCAGCAGUAGGGAAUCUUCCGCAAUGGGCGAAAGCCUGACGGAGCAACGCCGCGUGAGUGAUGAAGGUCUUCGGAUCGUAAAACUCUGUUAUUAGGGAAGAACAAACGUGUAAGUAACUGUGCACGUCUUGACGGUACCUAAUCAGAAAGCCACGGCUAACUACGUGCCAGCCGCCGCAGUAA